rnacentral:rRNA from 1 species
CCCGGUGACCCUGGGUUAAACGGCCGCGGUAUUUUAACCGUGCGAAGGUAGCGCAAUCACUUGUCCUUUAAAUGAAGACCUGUAUGAAUGGCUAGACGAGGGCUUAGCUGUCUCCUCCCCCCGGUCAAUGAAAUUGAUCUCCCCGUGCAGAAGCGGGGAUACUAACAUAAGACGAGAAGACCCUAUGGAGCUUUAGACACUAGACAGCCCACGUUAAACUUCCCCUAUAAAGAGGAAAAAACAUUGUGAUUCCUGUCUCUCCUGUCUUCGGUUGGGGCGACCGCGGAGGAUAAAAAAGCCUCCAUGUGGACCGAGGUUACUAACCUCACAACUUAGAGCUGCAGCUCCAAGCAACAGAAAUUCUGACCAAAAUGAUCCGGCAUAGCGCCGAUUAACGGAACAAGUUACCCUAGGGAUAACAGCGCAAUCCUCUCCCAGAGUCCCUAUCGACGAGGGGGUUUACGACCUCGAUGUUGGAUCAGGACAUCCUAUUGGUGCAGCCGCUAAUAAGGGUUCGUUUGUUCAACGAUUAAAGUCCU